CAUGCAGUCGAGCGGCAGCGACACAUUGACCCUUCGGGGGAUUUGUUGGGCGGCGAGCGGCGGACGGGUGAGUAAUGCCUGGGAACAUGCCUUAGUGUGGGGGAUAACCAUUGGAAACGAUGGCUAAUACCGCAUAAUCUCUACGGAGCAAAGAGGGGGACCUUCGGGCCUCUCGCGCUAAGAUUGGCCCAGGUGGGAUUAGCUAGUAGGUGGGGUAACGGCUCACCUAGGCGACGAUCCCUAGCUGGUCUGAGAGGAUGAUCAGCCACACUGGAACUGAGACACGGUCCAGACUCCUACGGGAGGCAGCAGUGGGGAAUAUUGCACAAUGGGGGAAACCCUGAUGCAGCCAUGCCGCGUGUGUGAAGAAGGCCUUCGGGUUGUAAAGCACUUUCAGCAGUGAGGAAGGCGGUAUCGUUAAUAGCGGUAUUGUUUGACGUUAGCUGCAGAAGAAGCACCGGCUAACUCCGUGCCAGCAGCCGCGGUAAUACGGAGGGUGCGAGCGUUAAUCGGAAUUACUGGGCGUAAAGCGCAUGCAGGCGGCUUGUUAAGCCAGAUGUGAAAGCCCGGGGCUCAACCUCGGAAUCGCAUUUGGAACUGGCAGGCUAGAGUCUUGUAGAGGGGGGUAGAAUUUCAGGUGUAGCGGUGAAAUGCGUAGAGAUCUGAAAGGAAUACCGGUGGCGAAAGGCGGCCCCCUGGACAAAGACUGACGCUCAGAUGCGAAAGCGUGGGGAGCAAACAGGAUUAGAUACCCUGAUAGUCCACGCCGUAAACGAUGUCUACUUGGGAGGUUGGUGUCUUGAACACUGGCUUUCGGAGCUAAC
rnacentral:rRNA from 1 species